rnacentral:rRNA from 1 species
AUGUUUGAACCUCUGAUUUUUGACUUGUGGUAUUUUGGCCAUUUUCUCAAUCCUGCAAGAAAAGCCGCACGAAUCCCGCCUCAUCCAUCUCUUUCCGCCGCAGGUAAGUUGAUGGAGCCCAACGCCGACAAGCUACGCGGUCUUCGCAUCACCUCCCUCGACGAUGAAGAUGAUGAUGAGAUAGAACUGCCCGCGACCGUGGCUGCGGCGGCCUCGGGCUAUGAUGACGAUGACGAGGACGAAGAUGAAGAAGCGGAAGUGAUGCUUGGUUUCCUGGAGAAGCCGAAGCAUCCAGGCCUCCUCCGCCACCUCUUUCCUAGCAAGGCCGGAGGCAUCCCGGCGUGGUUGGAUCCCGUGAACUUGCCCUCGGGGAACUCCAGCUGCUGUGGCUUCUGCGGCGAGCCCCUGCACUUUGUCCUCCAGAUUUAUGCUCCUAUUGAGAGCAAUGCAGCAGCAUUCCACCGCACUCUCUUCAUGUUCAUGUGCCCGUCGAUGGCAUGCUUGCACCGAGACCAGCACGAACAGUGGACACGCAACCAAGGCAAUCCUCGUAGAAGCGUGAGGGUUUUCCGGUGCCAGCUGCCUCGUACCAACGUGUUCUACUCAAGUAAACCUCCAAGUCACAAUAACUCUGACAAGCCACUAUGUGCCGGAGGUACUGCUCUCUGUCAUUGGUGUGGUACAUGGAAAGGGGAUAAAAUAUGUGGUGGCUGCAAGAAAUCACGUUACUGUUCUGAGAAACAUCAGGCACUGCACUGGCGCUCUGGUCAUAAAAAUGAUUGCCUACAGAUAAUCAAUUCUUCUGAAGCUUCAAGUUCUGUGCUGCCAGCUGUAGGAAAAGUUCCAGCUAGGACUUCUUGGCCGGAAUAUCAGAUAGCAAUUGACGAUGAAGUUGAUUUGGAUUCUGAUGGUUGUGAUGAAAACAGCUCAAAAUCCUUGGUGAUGCAAAAGCAUGGUAAACCAGAUGAUACAAUGCAGUCAUGGAUGGAUCAAUUUGAGGCUGAUGCUGACAACCAAUGCUGGGCAUAUUUUCAAGAGCGUAUCUCAAGAGCACCAGAGCAAGUAUUGAGAUACUGUCGAGAUCCAAAUGUAAAACCUCUGUGGGCUUUAUCAGCUGGGCGUCCAUCAAAUCCUGACAUCCCUUCAUGUAGCUACUGUAAAGGUCCACUAUGCUAUGAAUUUCAGAUAAUGCCACAAUUGCUUUAUUACUUUGGUGUGAGAAAUGAACCAGACUCUCUUGAUUGGGCAACAAUUGUUGUGUACACAUGUAAAGGAUCAUGUGAUCAAAGUACUAGCUACAAGGAAGAAUUUGCAUGGGUUCAGUUAUAUCCUACAUCAAUCUCAAGGCCGUAG